UUUCUGGUUGAUCCUGCCGGACCUGACUGCUAUCGGAUUGGUACUAAGCCAUGCGAGUCGUUGUACAAUACAAGGCGAACUGCUCAGUAACACGUAGUUAACCUAACCUAUGGAUGGGGAUAACCUCGGGAAACUGAGAAUAAUACCCAAUAGAUCACAGUGCCUGGAAUGGCCUGUGAUUGAAAUGAUUUAUCGCUGUAGGAUGGGACUGCGGCCUAUCAGCUUGUUGGUGAGGUAAUGGCCCACCAAGGCUAUAACAGGUACGGGCUCUGAGAGGAGGGGCCCGGAGAUGGGUACUGAGACACGGACCCAGGCCCUAUGGGGCGCAGCAGGCGAGAAACCUUUGCAAUGUGCGAAAGCACGACAAGGUUAAUCCGAGUGUCUCCUGCUAAAGGAGUCUUUUGUCAGUUGUAGAAUCACUGGCGAAUAAGGGGUGGGCAAGUUCUGGUGUCAGCCGCCGCGGUAAAACCAGCACCUCGAGUGGUCAGGAGGUUUAUUGGGCCUAAAGCAUCCGUAGCCGGUUGCAUAAGUUUUCGGUUAAAUCUAUGCGCUCAACGUAUAGGCCGCCGAA
rnacentral:rRNA from 1 species